GCUUGCUUUAGAAAGUCGAGUGGCAAACGGGUGAGUAACGCGUACGACAACCUGCCGUAAAGAUGGGGACAACAGUCCGAAAGGACUGCUAAUACCGAAUGUUGUGGAACUUCCGCAAUGGAAGCUCCACUAAAGAUCGCCUCUACUUGUAAGCUAUCGCUUUACGAUGGGUCUGCGUCUGAUUAGCUAGUUGGUGGGGUAAC
rnacentral:rRNA from 1 species